rnacentral:rRNA from 1 species
UACGUAGGUGGCGAGCGUUGUCCGGAUUUACUGGGCGUAAAGGGAGCGUAGGCGGACUUUUAAGUGAGAUGUGAAAUACUCGGGCUCAACUUGAGUGCUGCAUUUCAAACUGGAAGUCUAGAGUGCAGGAGAGGAGAAUGGAAUUCCUAGUGUAGCGGUGAAAUGCGUAGAGAUUAGGAAGAACACCAGUGGCGAAAGCGAUUCUCUGGACUGUAACUGACGCUGAGGCUCGAAAGCGUGGGGAGCAAACAGG